GCCCCUGUAGCCCAACUGGAAAGAGGCGUCAAGCUUAGACCUUGGAUGAUACUGGUUCAAAUCCAGUCAGGGGUA
rnacentral:tRNA from 1 species